GAGCAAGGCACAAUGAACAGAAGUGUAUGAGCUGUGUGUCAUUUGUGUGUCCGGUCCAAAGAAUCAUCAUCAUCAUCUGCCUACUUGGUACCAAUCCUGGUGCCUGUAACAUCCACAACCAUCAGCCAGUGAGGUUCAUUGUUUACCGCCUGGUUUUCUCCUGAAAAAUGUCAACACAACCCAUGGAAGACUGGAACACUGACUUCUGUGAUUGCUUUGAGGAGGCAAAUACCUGUUGCUAUGGCUUCUGGUGCUGCCCAUGCCUCGCCUCCACGGUUUCGGUUCGAUUUGGAGAGAGUCGCUUUCUCCCACUGUGUGACAUGUGCAGCGUGACCAUGUACACAGUCGCUGGGAUACCACUGUGUGUUCCUCCUGCAGCCCUGGCUCUAAGGGCUGCCAUGCGAAACCGAUACAACAUCAAGGGAUCUAUCUGUAACGACCUUGCCGUCUCCUGUUUCUGCGGAUGGUGCUCCUGGUGUCAGAUGCAUCGUGAGUUGAAACAUCGCAGAAAAGCUCCUACUGUCGUCACUGUGCAGCAACCGAGCGUUUUGCAAUUGCAGCCGGCUCCAGUAAUAAUGGCUGCUUACCCCCCCACAGCUGCCUAUCCAGGGACAGUCACUAUCUUAAAGUGAGCUUUGUGGCCUCUCAUUAGUCUGGUAUGUUUUGUGAAUGACAUACCUCGGCUCAGUUCAAGUUCCUGUUUGUUAAGUUAAACUGAAAUACUAAAAGCAUUCACUGGUGAAGUUUGAAGAUCAUUCUUAAUUCAUAUUUUUGAUUAACGAGUUAUUUCAAUUUUAGACAAAAGAUCGUUUUUUUAUUUUAAAUCCUCAUUCCUGGAUUCAUUCUAAACAUUUUACUUUCUGUGAGGCUUCUGCCGGUUCACCAAAUAUGCACAAACUUGUUGAACGCACCUAAAUUGACAAUAUAUGGCUAUUGUAUAUUUUUAUACUUUAUUUGACAUUUAUCCCUAUGUCUCUGUUUUAAUAAACUGUAUGUAACCAUGA